UACUAGUGUUUCUCCUCAUAAUCGAAUGAAUCUUUUAUCUUUUACUAAAGAUUCACAUGGGGAGGAAAAAGCAUGACAGUUGCCUCAAUUCUUUGAAGGCUUGUGGGAAUAAACAAGGCU
ensembl:snRNA U5 U5 spliceosomal RNA